rnacentral:rRNA from 1 species
GAUUAACGCUAGCGGCAGGCCUAAUACAUGCAAGUCGAACGGGAUUGAUUGUAGCAAUACGGUCAUGAGAGUGGCGCACGGGUGCGUAACACGUAUGCAACCUACCUAUAACUGGGGGAUAGCCUCCCGAAAGGGAGAUUAACACCGCAUAACAUUAUGAAGUGGCAUCACUUUAUACUUAAAUCUACGGAGGUUAUAGAUGGGCAUGCGUCCGACUAGCUAGUUGGUGAGGUAACGGUUCACCAAGGCUCCGAUCGGUAGGGGGUCUGAGAGGAUGUUCCCCCACACGGGUACUGAGACACGGACCAGAAUCCUACGGGAGGCAGCAGUAAGGAAUAUUGGACAAUGGGCGCAAGCCUGAUCCAGCCAUGCCGCGUGAAGGAUGAAGGCCCUCUGGGUCGUAAACUUCUUUUAUACGGGAAAAAACCCCCGAUUGCGAUCGGGGUUGAUGGUACUGUAAGAAUAAGGGUCGGCUAACUUCGUGCCAGCAGCCGCCGUAAGAC